AUAUGGCCUAGGUAGGGAGAUCUCUGGUCGCCAAAUCGGGUGUGUCACACUGCCCACCCCGCGACAAAAACCAUGCCAAGGCAUGUCAAACGUCCAAGUCUCGGGCUCAGCUUUUUCCAGUGGGUGCCUUGGGUGGUAUGCCACAUUUUUGGUAUAGGACAUAGGUGGAUUUGAUGCCAGCUUCGAGGUGAACACAACUGAUCUUUAGUGUAGGUGUAGUUUUUAACUUAGAGAGAAAUAGAGAGCUCUAGCUCUCUAUCCACUUGGAGCUUUGAUUUGGGGUUUCUCCAGGGGUCUUUUUGCAAUAAUUCCCUCCCCUAAUUGCUGGUUAUAAGGUUACUUAAGGUUUGGGUAAAUAUUACUCAUGCUUUGUACACUUGCUCACUCUCUUUUCCCUCUUAUCUAGGGUUUUGGGAGAUAGGGUUUAAGAGAGGUCUAGGGUUCUUCUCCCCUCUUAUCCAAGGUAGUAAGUGUGCAAGGAUUAGAGUAAUGAUUCUUAGGUCAUUGGCAACUUGAUUAGCACAUGAUCUCCAAGGUUCUUAUGUGUUGCCUUAAGCCUCUACCACAUAUAAUUCACAGUCCUUAGUGCCAAGGUGUGCUCUAGCCAUGGUAACACCUGGGGUGUUACAGACCCAGGGCUCGAACUCGGGCUCAGCCCCGGAAGACGGCGAACUCCGCUCCGCCCGACCCAGGGCUCGGACUCGGGCUCAGCCCCGGAAGACGGCGAACUCCGCUCCGCCCGACCCCAGGGCUCGGACUCAGGCUCAGCCCCUGAAGACGACGAACUCCGCUUCGCCCGACCCCAGGGCUCGGACUCGGGCUUAGCCCCGGAAGACGGCGAACUCCGCUCCGCCCGACCAAGGGCUCGGACUCGGGCUCGGCCCUGGAAGACGGCGAACUCCACUUCGCCCGACCCCAGGGCUCGGACUCGGGCUCAGCCCCUGAAGACGACGAACUCCGCUUCGCCCGACCCCAGGGCUCGGACUCAGCCCUGGCCUCCGCCGACGGUCUCCGCCUCGCCCGACCCAGGGGCUCAGACUCUACCUCGACCUCGGAGGAGCCUCCAUAUCGCCCAACCUAGGGCACGGACCGACCACGUCAACAGGAGGCGCCAUCAUUACCCUACCCCAAGCUGACUCAGGCUACGGGGAACAAGACCGGCGUCCCAUCUGGCUCGCUCCGCCAGACAAGUAAUGAUGGCGCCCCGCACGCUCUAUGACGACGGCGGCUCUCAGCCCCCUUACGGAAGCAAGAGGACGUCAGCAAGGACUCGACAGCCCUGACAGCUGUCCUUCCGCCAGGCUCCAGCGCUCCUCCGAUGGCCACGACACCACACGAACCGGGUGAUAAAACCUCUCCGGCUGCCACGAUGGCAUGUACUUAGGGCGCUAGCUCUCCUCCGCUAGACACGUUAGCACUCUGCUACACCCCCACUGUACACCUGGAUCCUUUCCUUGCGCCUAUAAAAGGGAGGACCAUGGCCCUCUUAGAGAGGGUUGGCCACGCAGGGAAGAGGACGGGACAGGCGCUCGCGUGAGGCCGCUCGCUCCCCUCCCGCGUGGACGCUUGUAACCCCCUACUGCAAGCGCACCCGACCUGGGCGCGGGACAAACACGAAGGCCGCGGGAUUUCCACCUCUCUCUCGCUCCGGCCGCCUUUUUCCCCCCUUCGCGCUCCGUCUCGCGCCGACCCAUCUGGGCUGGGGCACGCGGCGACAUUUCACUCGUCGGCCCAGGGACCCCCCCGGUCUCAAAACGCCGACAAUAUGAGUGAAGGAUUAUAUCAAAGUGAAGAGCGGUGCGGAGUGACGGCGAAGGAUGAAUAAUUGAAUGGAGUGGAGUGAAAGCCUUGUCUUCGCCGAGGACUCCAUUUCCCUUUCAAUCGAUGACUUAGCAUGUAAUACACUUGAAAACCACAUUAGUCAUAGCACAAGAAAGAGAGAUGAUCAAAGGUAUCUAAAUGAGCUAUGUGUGCAAAAUAUCAAUCAAAAUUCCUAGAAUCAAGAAUGUUUAGCUCAUGCCUAAAUUUGGUAAAAAUUUUCUCAUCUAAUGGCUUGGUGAAGAUAUAGGCUAAUUGUGCUUUGGUGCUAACAUAUGCAAUUUUGAUAUCCCCCUUUGUUGGUAAUCCCUCAAAAAGUGAUAUCGAAUGGCUAUGUGCUUAGUGCGGUUGUGCUCAACGGGAUUAUCCGCCAUGCGGAUUGCAGUCUCAUUAUCACAUAGGAGAGGAACUUUGGUUAAUUUGUAACCAUAGUCCCUAAGGGUUUGCCUCAUCUAGAGCAAUUGCGCGCAACAAUGGCCUGCGGCAAUGUACUCGGCUUCGGCGGUAGAAAGAGCUACAAAAUUUUGUUUCUUUGAAGCCCAAGACACCAGGGAUCUUCCCAAGAACUGACAAGUCCCUGAUGUGCUCUUUCUAUCAAUUUUACACCCUGCCCAAUCAGUAUCUGAAUAACCUAUUAAAUCAAAAGUGGAUCCCUUGGGGUACCAAAGACCAAACUUAGGAGUAUGAACUAAAUAUCUCAAGAUUCGUUUCACGGCCCUAAGGUGAACUUCCUUAGGAUCGGCUUGGAAUCUUGCACACAUGCAUACGGAAAGCAUAAUAUCCGGUCGAGAUGCACAUAAAUAGAGUAAAGAUCCUAUCAUCGACCGGUAUACCUUUUGAUCUACGGACUUACCUCUCGUGUCGAGGUCGAUAUGCCCAUUGGUUCUCAUGGGUGUCUUGAUGGGCUUGGCAUCCUUCAUCCCAAACUUGGUGAGUAUGUCUUGAAUGUACUUUGUUUGGCUGAUGAAGGUGCCCUCUUGUAGUUGUUUCACUUGAAAUCCUAAGAAAUACUUCAACUCCCCCAUCAUAGACAUCUCGAAUUUUUGAAUCAUGAUCCUACUAAACUCUUCACAAGUAGAUUUGUUAGUAGACCCAAAUAUGAUAUCAUCAACAUAAAUUUGGCAUAUAAACAAAUCAUUUGCAAUAGUUUUAGUAAAGAGAGUAGGAUCGGCUUUUCCGACUUUGAAGCCAUUAGCGAUAAGAAAAUCUCUUAGGCAUUCAUACCAUGCUCUUGGGGCUUGCUUGAGCCCAUAAAGCGCCUUAGGGAGUUUAUAGACAUGGUUAGGGUACUCACUAUCUUCAAAGCUGGGAGGUUGCUCAACAUAGACCUCUUCCUUGAUUGAUCCAUUGAGGAAGGCACUUUUCACGUCCAUUUGAUAGAGCUUAAAGCCAUGGUAAGUAGCAUAGGCAAGUAAUAUACGAAUUGACUCAAGCCUAGCUACGGGUGCAUAGGUUUCACCGAAAUCCAAACCAUCGACUUGUGAAUAUCCCUUGGCCACAAGUCAGGCUUUGUUCCUUGUCACCACACCAUGCUCAUCUUGCUUGUUGCGGAAGACCCACUUGGUUCCUACAACAUUUUGAUUAGGACGUGGAACAAGAUGCCAUACCUCAUUCCUUGUGAAGUUGUUGAGUUCCUCUUGCAUUGCCAACACCCAAUCUGAAUCCCUUAAUGCGUCUUCCACCCUGUAUGGCUCAAUAGAAGACACAAAGGAGUAAUGUUCACAAAAAUGAGCGACACGAGAUCGAGUGGUUACCCCCUUAUGAAUAUCACCUAGGAUGGAGUUCACGGGGUGAUCUUGUUGUAUCGCUUGGUGGACUCUUGGGUGUGGCGGUCUUGAACCCUCAUCAUCUUCCUUGUCUUGAUCAUGGGCAUCUCCCCCAUGAUCAUUGUCCUCCUCAUGAGGUGGCUCUUCGUGAUCUUCAUUUUCAUCAUCUUGAUCUUGAUCCUCAUCUUGGGUUGGUGGAGAUGCUUGAUUUGAAAAUGAUUGUUGAUCUUGUGCUUGUGGAGACUCUUCGGAUUCCUUAGGACACACAUCCCCAAUGGACAUGUUCCUUAGUGCGACGCAUGGAGCCUCUUCAUCAUCUAGCUCAUCAAGAUCAACUUGCUCUACUUGAGAGCCGUUAGUCUCAUCAAACACAAUGUCACAAGAAACUUCAACUAGUCCAGUGGACUUGUUAAAGACUCUAUAUGCCCUUGUGUUUGAAUCAUAACCAAGUAAAAAGCCUUCUACAGCCUUAGGAGCAAAUUUAGAUUUUCUACCUCUUUUAACAAGAGUAAAACAUUUGCUACCAAAGACUCUAAAAUAUGAGACAUUGGGCUUUUUACCGGUGAGGAGUUCAUACGAUGUCUUCUUGAGGAUUCGGUGAAGGUAGAGACGGUUGAUGGCGUAGCAAGCGGUGUUGACUGCUUCCGCCCAAAACCGGUCCGAAGUCUUGUACUCAUCAAGCAUGGUCCUCGCCAUGUCAAGUAGAGUUCUAUUCUUCCUCUCCACUACACCAUUUUGUUGUGGUGUGUAGGGAGAAGAGAACUCAUGCUUGAUGCCCUCAUCCUCAAGGAAGCCUUCUAUUUGUGAGUUCUUGAACUUCGUCCCGUUGUCGCUUCUAAUCUUUUUGAUCCUUAAGCCGAACUCAUUUUGAGCCCGUCUCAAGAAUCCCUUUAAGGUCUCUUGGGUUUGGGAUUUAUCCUGCAAAAAGAACACCCAAGUGAAGCGAGAAUAAUCAUCCACAAUAACUAGACAAUACUUACUCCCGCCGAUGCUUAUGUAAGCAAUCAGGCCGAAUAGGUCCAUGUGGAGUAGCUUAAGUGGCAUGUCAGUCGUCAUGAUGUUCUUGUGUGGAUGAUGAACACCAACUUGCUUUCCUGCUUGACAUGCGCUACAAAUCCUGUCUUUCUCAAAAUGAACAUUUGUUAGUCCCAAAAUGUGCUCUCCCUUUAGAAGCUUAUGAAGAUUCUUCAUCCCAACGUGGGCUAGUUGGCGAUGCCAGAGCCAACCCAUGUUAGUCUUAGCAAUUAAGCAAGUGUCGAGUUCAGCUCUAUUAAAAUCAACUAAGUAUAGCUGACCCUCUAACAUUCCCUUAAAUGCUACUGAAUCAUCACUUCUUCUAAAGACAGUAACACCUAAAUCCGUAAAAAGACAAUUGUAGCCCAUUUUACAUAAUUGAGAAACUGAAAGCAAGUUGUAAUCUAAAGAAUCUACAAGAAAAACAUUGGAAAUAGAAUGGUCAGGAGAUAUAGCAAUUUUACCAAGUGCUUUGACCAAACCUUGAUUUCUAUCCCCGAAUGUGAUAGCUCUUUGGGGAUCAUGGUUUUUCUCGUAGGAGGAGAACAUCCUUUUCUCCCCAAUCAUGUGGUUUGUGCACCCGCUAUCAAUUAUCCAACUUGAGCCCCCCGGAUGCAUAAACCUACAAAACAAAUUUAGGCCUUGUUCUUAGGUACCCAAACGGUCUUGGGUCCUUUGAUAUUAGAAACAAGCACCUUGGGUACCCAAACACAAGUCUUUGAGCCCUUGUGUUUGGCCCCAACAUAUUUGGCAACUACUUUGCCUGAUUUGUUAGUUAAAACAUAUGAAGCAUCAAAAGUCUUAAAUGAAAUAAUAGGCUCAUUUGAUGCAAUAGGAGUUUUCUUUUUAGGCAAUUUAACAUGAGUGGAUUGCCUAGAACUAGAUGCCUCACUCUUAUACAUAAAAGCAUGAUGAGAGCCAGAGUGAGACUUCCUAGAGUGAAUUCUCCUAAUCUUGUGUUCGGGAUAACCGGCAGGGUAUAAAAUAUAACCCUUGUUAUCCUGAACCAUGGGAGCCUUACCCUUAACAAAAUUAGACAAUUUCUUAGGGGCAUUAAGCUUGACAUUGUCUCUCCUUCUGGAAGCCAAUGCCAUCCUCAGGGGCAGAUCUCCACCCGGGGCUGCCUGGGCUGCAGCCCCGGUCGGUAGUCGCGGCCCAGUAGAGGCCCAUCAUCGCGCGACAUGACCUAAGCAGCAGACGUCCUACAUCCAGCCCCAGCCGCCGCCGUUUGGCUCCUGCGUUCGAUCUCGCUGCGUCCUGGUCCUGCGCCCUGCGGUCCAGCCUCCUCUCCAAGACUCCACUUCUCCAGCGCGCUCGCCCGCGCCAGCCGCUAGGCCGCCACCGGCCACCGCCAGGCGCGCAGCCGCCCAGGCGCGCUCGCCCACGGCUCGCCAGCGCCAGCCGCCAGGCCGCCACGCGCCACCGGCCACCGCCAGGCGCCCAGCCGCCCAGGCGUGCUCGCCCAGCACCGCAGCGCGCUCGCGGCUCGCUCGCCAGGCCAGAUCCGGACCGCCGGAGCACCACCGCAGCGCCGCUCGCCCCGCUCGGAGCACCGUCGUGAGCCCGCGACCACGCUGUUGUCCAGCCGCCGCUCCGCCCUCCCUCCUUCGACCUUCGCCUUGGUUCCGACGCGCACGCGGUGAACAGUAUGUGCAAGAUUAGUUUUUAUUUGGUUUAAAAAAAUUUAUAGCAUUAGUUUAGUAGCCCCCUCUUGGAUCAAUCCUAGAUCCGCCACUGGCCAUCCUUAACCCCAGGGCGUUUCCCACUAUAGAGCAUGCUUCUAGCAAAUUUAAAUUUUUCAUUUUCUAAGUCAUGCUCAUUAAUUUUAGCACUAAGUUGAGCUAUGUGAUCAUUUUGUUGUUUAAUUAAGGCAAGGUGAUCAUGAAUAGCAUCAACAUUAAUAUCUCUACAUCUAGUGCAAAUAGCAACAUGCUCAACGGUAGAUGUAGAGGGCUUGCAAACAUUUAGUUCAUCAAUCUUUGCAUGUAAAAUAGCAUUUUCUUUUCUAAGACUGGAAAUAGAAACAUUGCAAUCAUUUAAAUCUUUAGCCUUAGCAAUUAAUUUUUCAUUUUCAAUUUUAAGGCUAGAGAGAGAUGCAUUCAACUUGUCAAUCUUAGUAAUUAAACUAGCAUUAUCAUUUCUAAGAUUAACAAUUGAAUCAUCACAAACAUCUAACUUCUCAACCUUAGCAAUCAAUUUAGCAUUCUCAUCUCUAAAGUUGGAAAUAAUAUCAUGGCAAGUGCUUAGCUCACUAGUUAAUUUUUCACAUUUUUCUACUUCCUGAGCAUAAGCAUUUUUAACCUUAACGUGCUUUUUGUUUUCCUUAAUAAGGAAGUCCUCUUGGCUAUCCAAGAGUUCAUCCUUCUCAUGAAUAGCUCCUAUCAAUUCAUUUAAUUUCUCUUUUUGUUGCAUGUUUAGGUUGGCAAAAAGAGCAAGCAAAUUAUCCUCAUCAUCACUAGAGUUAUCCUCAUCACUAGAUGUUGCAUAUUUAGUGGAGGCUCUAGAUUUUACCUUCUUUUUGUCGUCCCUUGCCAUGAGCCACUUGUGUCCGAUGUUUGGGAAGAUGAGACCCUUGUUGACGGUGAUGUUUGUGGCGUCCUCGUCGGAGGAGGAGUCGAUGGAGCUCUCAUCGGAGUCCCACUCCCAACAAACAUGGGCAUCACCACCCUUCUUCUUGUAAUACUUCCUCUUCUCCUUCUUUCUUCCCUUCUUGUCGUUGCCCCUGUCACUAUCACUUGAUAAUGGACAUUUAGCAAUGAAAUGACCAGACUUACCACACUUGUAGCAAACAUUCUUUCACUAUCACUUGAUAAUGGACAUUUAGCAAUGAAAUGACCAGGCUUACCACACUUGUAGCAAACAUUCUUGGAGCGGGGCUUGUAGUCCUUCCCCUCCUUUGCUUGAGGAUUUGGCGGAAGCUAUUGAUGAUUAAAGCCAUCUCCUAAUUGUCGAGCUUGGAGGCGUCGAUGGGGAGCCUACUUGACGUAGACUCUUCUUUCUUCUUCUCCGUCGCUUUGAAUGCGACGGGUUGCACUUCGGGUGUGGAGGAGGCGCCUUGCUCGAUGAUUUUCUUGGAGCCUUUGAUCAUCAAUUCAAAGCUCACAAAUUUUCCUAUAACCUCCUCGGGAGACAUUAGCUUGUAUCUAGGAUCACCAUGAAUUAAUUGAACUUGUAUAGGAUUAAGAAAAACGAGUGAUCUUAGAAUAACCUUGACCAUUUCAUGGUCAUCCCGUUUUAUGCUUCCGAGGUUGCGCACUUGGUUCACCAAGGUCUUGAGCCGGUUGUACAUCACUUGUGGCUCCUCCCCUUGAUGAAGCAUGAAGCGAUCGAGCUCCCCCUCGAUCGUUUCCCUCUUGGUGAUCUUGGUCACCUCGUCUCCUUCGUGCGCGGUCUUGAGCACGUCCCAAAUUUCUUUGGCACUCUUCAACCCUUGCACCUUAUUAUACUCCUCUCGACUUAGAGAGGCGAGGAGUAUAGUAGUGGCUUGGGAGUUGAAGUGCCGGAUUUGGGCUACCUCGUCCGAGUCAUAGCCUUCAUCCCCCACGGAUGGUUCCUGCGCACCAAAUUCAACAAUGUCCCAAAUACUAGCGUGGAGUGAGGUUAGAUGGUGCCUCAUUUUAUCACUCCACAUACAAUAAUCUUCACCAUAAAAAACCGGUGGUUUCCCUAGUGGGACGGAAAGUAAAGGAGUGCGUUUGGAAAUGCGAGGAUAGCGUAAGGGGAUCUUACUAAACUUCUUGCGCUCAUGGCACUUAGAAGUGACGGAUGACGUGUCGGAGCCGGAGGUGGAAGGAGACGAAGAAUCGGUCUCGUAAUAGACCACUUUCUUCAUUUUCUUCUUCUUGUCGCCACUCCGGUGCGACUUGACGUGGGGAGGUGAUUCCUCCCUCUUCUUGUUGCUGGACUCUCCCGAUGGAGCCUUCCCGUGGCUUGUGGCGGGCUUGUCGCCGGUCACCAUCUUCUUCUUGGCGUGAGCUCCCGACAUAACUUCGAGCGGUUAGGCUCUAAUAAAGUAUCGUGCUCUGAUACCAAUUGAAAGUCGCCUAGAGGGGGGGUGAAUAGGCAAAUCUGAAAUUUAUAAAGUUUAAGCACAACUACAAGCCGGGGUUAGCGUUAGAAAUAUAAUCGAGUCCGAAAGAGAGGGCGAAAACAAAUCACAAGCAAAAUAAGAGCGGAUGACACGGUGAUUUGUUUUACCGAGGUUUGGUUCUUUCAAACCUACUCCCUGUUGAGGUGGUCACAAAGACCGGGUCUCUUCCAACCCUUUUCCUCUCUCAAACGGUCACCUAGACCGAGUGAGCUUUCUCCUUAAUCAAACGGGUCACUUAGACCCCACAAGGACCACUACAAACUUAGUGUCUCUUGCUUUGAUUACAAAUGUAUUAAGAAUAAGAAUGGGGAAGAAGAAAGCACAAUUGCAAAAGCCAAGCGACAAGAGCGACAAAUAACACAUGGAUCACUCUCUCUCUCUCAAGUCACUAAUCACUAAUGAUCACUUGUCUCAAUUGUGGAACUUGGAGAGAUUGGAGGCUUUGAUUGCGUCUUGGAAUGGAUUGCUAGCUCUUGUAUUGAAUGUUGAAAGUUGGAAUGCUUGGGUGAAGUGAAUGGAGGUGGUUGGAGUUGUAUUUAUAGCCAUCAACCACUUCCUAGCCGUUGCUCCAAUUCUAUCGACCGCGGACGGUCCACGCCCCUGGUCCGGACGGUCCGCCCCUGUACAUCAACGGUUGAAAUCGCAACGGUCAGCAGUAACGGCUAUAUCAACGGCUAUAAUGCAUUAAAUGCGUUGUCAGAUGUCAGAUAAAGGCAGUCGCGGACGGUCCGGUCGUGCACCCCGGACGGUCCGCGAGGACGCUAUAAUUCAUUUUACUGAACCCGUCACCUUCGGGGUUUUCGGUUCCUCACCUACCGGACGGUCCGCGCUUGAGGUCGGAUGGUCCGCGCGUGGUCUCAGACGGUGCUUGUUUUUCCUCUAGACGGUCCGUAGUGUAGACUUGGAUUUUUGCAUUGGUUCUGUCCGAGGGUCAUCCAGGUGUCGCGGACGGUCCGUCGCAAAGGCCGGACGGUCCGCGCGUGGUCUGUUUUUCCAAAAAGCUUCUCCUAUCCGGAAUAAUCUACGGUAUUCCGGAUAGUCGACUUAGAAUAGUUGUAGAUGAACUUAUGCACCUGUAAAACUUAUAAUCUAGAGCAAACUAGUUAGUCCAAUUAUUUAUGUUGGGCAACUCAACCACCAAAAUCAUUUAGGAAAAGGUUUGACCCUAUUUCUCUUUCAGUUUUUUCAAGUAAAAGACAUAGCUAAGAUAUAUGUAGGUACAAUGGAGUGUGUAUAACUUAUUUAUGUGGGUUGUACUAGUAAAACUGUGUCUUGGGCUUAGAGAACUGAGUCGGAGGUGUGUCUUAAGGGUAUGUGUACAACAACAUUUAAUAUGACAUCUUUUGAAAGUUCUCUAGGGGUUAAUUAAAAAAUACAAGAGACGAGCUCUUCACGUACACGAAGACUCGGGGUUGUAUCACACUCUCUCUUAGUUGUCUCUUGUACUUAGAAAACCGAGCCGAAGUCUUUAGGUUAGAGCAAGUAUAAUAAGUGACUGUAAAUCAGCUAAAUACUGACGUGGAUGAGAGAGAAGAGGAGAGAAAAGAGAAGCUAUAAACUUACCAUUGGCUUGACACAAGAACCAAAAAUCUUGCGAGAGAGAGCAAGUGUGUCUAUGGAUGGACUAAGAUGUAGACUAUAAGCCCAAACAGUAGGCUUUAUUACACACUCCGUUCCAAAGUAUAGUAAUUUAUUUUACACUAAUCAUAUAUUUAUUAAAUAUCAUAUGAUUGUAGUUUACAUGUAUGUCUAUAUUCAUUAUUGUUUGAAUGGAUGUGAACAGAAAAACAGUGGAAUAGAAAGAACAAUACUUUAGAACGGACAUGUGGUCAGCAGAGGAUCAGAGGUGACGCGCUUUAUUUAGCAGGCAGAAAACGAAGCUGCACGGGGUGUCUGACCGCCCAGCGAUCGAGACCAACCUAGCUAGGUUAGUAAACUAAUAACCCCAUAGCAUCACUAGUUAAACUAACUCAUGCCUAGGUAUUCGUAAAACAUGGGAACAUGCCGCGUAGAUACGUUCGUCGUCGUCCACUACACCGGAACCGGGACUUUGGGGCUGCGGUUUGACUGCGUGUGCCUUGGUCGGUGUUGGCCGAGAGCUCCGCGGUGAGCACUACUAGGUCGUCUCGCCCUCCCAUCUCGUGCUCUCCCAUGGCUUUACAUGGGAUGGAAUGCAAGCUUCAGCGUACAGACUCAAUGCAUGGAUCGGAGAAGAUGAUGCUGAGCGACGAAGAGCUAGUGAACUUUCCGCCACACAUAUCCGUCGCUAUCGAUCCAUCUCCGGACAGGUCCAAUCAAAUCGAAUCGAGUUCCGUCGCAGCAUCAAUACACCGACACACACACAGCGUCCUGAGCUUUUCUGAGCGAAGUCGACAUGCAUGUUGCCAUGUUGGCCCCUUUGCUGAGGGAAAGAGCUGGAACUAAAAGAACAUGCAUAUUUUCAUGUGGGCAAUGGGAACAGAGGAAAGAGAGAGAAGGAAAAAAAAGAAAAGAAAGAAACGAAAAGAGAAAGAAGGGGGCAAACCUUGAGCUAUUUGCUGGGAUUGACGUUUGCCCAAUUGCCCUAAGCUGGGUAAAAGAGAUUUGAGACCUGACCACUUCAUUGCAAUGGGGGAAGUAAAAAGGGAUUUGGGUACGGUGGGCAAAGCAGGGACAACCAGCAGAGCAUGUGCAUCAUUAGGGCUCAGGGUGUGUUUGGUUGGACUGAAAGUUUGUUAACGACUUGCAUAAGUUGGAACACACACAAUAUCUGGAGAAUGCAGAGACGGAGAACAGAGUAGUUGAGAUAGUACUUGGAAAGGAAGAAGAACUAGAGUCUAGAGUUCUGUUACAGCAUAAAAAACCCUACGCGCCGCCAAACCCUUAUUUAAUAAUCGGCUGGAUUACUCUGUGCUGUUUACCCACGCCGGCCCAAAGACCUUUGGGUUGCGCUUCCUCAGCCUUUUGGCCCGACACGGCCCAUCUCCUGCUGUUGCAGCCAAACCUUCUUUGUCAUUUGCCGCACCGAUGACUGCUUCCUCCGCUUCGCUGACAUUCCCCCUGCUAAAUCCGCUGGUUGUCCCCAAACAGCUGCAUGCGGAAACUGCUGUUGCAAGUCCUGCGCAAACUCCCAAGUAGCCAACUCCACGGGCAUGUGUGACCACUGGACAAGAAUUUGUUCACUGGACUGCCCCCCACGAGCCACCGUCCGACGCUGCAAGAUCUUGACAGGCACACUGAACUGAAAUUGCUCAUUAGGCAGCACUGGAGAAGACACCAAACCUGUACCCAAGGCACGCUUGAGCUGGGAUACAUGAAAUACAGGAUGAAUCCGUGACGAAGAUGGUAACUAUAAUUCGUACGCCACGGCUCCCACACGUCGCAGCACCUGAAAUGGCCCAAAAAACUUAAAUGCCAAUUUCUGAUGAGCACGAACAGCAACAGACGACUGAACAUAUGGUUGGAGCUUAAGAAACACCCAAUCACCACUAGCAAAUUCCCGUUCAGAACGGCCUUUGUCAGCCUGUCGUUUCAUGCGCAAUUUAGCCCUUUCCAAGUGCUGUUUUACUAAAUCAGACAUGACCUGCCGGUCCUGCAGCCAUAUAGAUAAAUCAGUGGAAGCAAUGACAGCAGAAUCCGAAAUACCAAACUGUCGAGGGCGACACCCAUAGAGCACUUCAAAUGGCGACCUUCCCGUAGCUGAAUGGGGAGACGAGUUAUACCAGAAUUGUGCAACUGAUAGUCACUUACUCCAUUGAUGAGGGCAGGCAUGGACAAAACAACGAAGGAACGUCUCCAAACAUUGAUUUACACGCUCUGUUUGUCCAUCGGAUUGCGGAUGAUAAGCUGAGCUCAUACGUAGCUGGACAUCAGCAAGCCGAAAUAAUUCCUUCCACAGGUUACUGAGAAACACCUUGUCACGAUCGGAAACUAUAGAAUGAGGCAAUCCAUGAUGUUUAUACACUUGAUCGUGGAAAAGGCGAGCAACCGUCAGAGCUGUAAAUGGGUGUUUCAGUGGUAAAAAAUUGGCAUAUUUUGAAAACAGAUCGACAACCACCAGGAUGCAUGUAUACGAAUGUGAACUAGGCAAAGCCUCAAUGAAAUCCAUAGAAAUGAUCUGCCAUAAAGAAGAAGGAACCGGAAGGGGUUGGAGCAGACCAGGUAGCCUAGCACGAUCAGCUUUGGCUUGCUGACAUAUCAAACAGUGAGUGACAUAUGUGUGCACUUCAGUUUUCAGACCUUGCCAAGCAAACAGUUGCUUCAACCGGGCAUAUGUUACCGGAAAUCCCGAGUGACCGCCCACUGCAGAUGUAUGAAAAGCAGCUAUCAACUUCUGAUGCAGAUGAGCUGAAGGUCCUACCCAAAUGCGCUUCUUAUAACGGAGCAACCCAUCUUGCCAGGAAAAAUGUGGAACGGCGGACGAAUCCACAGCGAGCUUAGCAAUGAUAUCCGAAGAAUGGGUAUCUGCCAAAUAUGUAUCAGCAACUUCGGUGACCCACUGUGGCUGACAGGACGACACCGCCAGGCAACUCGCUGACACUAUAGGAUGUCGCGAUAAAGCAUCAGCAACCCCGUUCUCUACUCCUUUCUUAUACACGAUGCGAUAUUGCAGUCCCAACAACCGAGUAAACAUUUUCUUUUGCCAUGGUGUGUGCAACCGCUGUUCAUCCAACUGAGCAAGACUGCGAUGAUCCGUAUAUAUGAUGAAUUCCUUAAGUUGCAAGUAAUGGCGCCAAUGGUCGACAGCAAUCAAAAUGGCCAAAAAUUCCUUUUCAUAAGUCGACAACCCUUGUGAUCUGGGUCCCAACGCCUUGCUAAGAUACGCAAUUGGGUGACCGGACUGCAACAACACCGCUCCGACCCCAUGAUUGCUGGCAUCUGUUUCUAAACAGAAGGGCAAUGAAAAGUUUGGUAAUGCCAAAACAGGAGCAGACACUAAAGCUUGUUUCAAGGCUGCAAAGGAAGCUUCGUGUGCGGGAGUCCAUACAAAUAUAGCACCCUUUUUUAGUAGACCCGUCAGAGGUCGAGCCAAAAGACCAAAAUGACGAACAAAGCGACGGUAGUACCCUGCCAAACCCAAAAAACUGCGUAAUUCCUUCACAGUCCUGGGAGAAGACCACUGAGAAACAGCCUGAAUCUUGCUUGGGUCUGUAGCUACUCCGGCCGCUGAAAUGACAUGACCGAGAUAGGAUAACUGAGGCCUGGCAAAUGAACAUUUAUUCAACUUAAUUUGCCAUUGAUACUGUAUGAGUAGUUCGAAGACUGCUCGAACAUGCUGAAUAUGGUCUUCAAAGCUCGAACUGUAGAUUAAAAUAUCAUCAAAGAAAACUAGCACACAACGACGAAGUAAUGGUGCUAAUGUUGCAUUCAUGGCGCGUUGAAAAGUGGCUGGUGCCCCGGUCAAACCAAAAGCCAUAACUCUAAAUUCAUAGUGACCCGAGUGUGUUUGGAAUGCUGUCUUAUGACAAUCUGCCGGUAACAGCCGAAUCUGGUGAUAUCCCGCUGUCAAGUCCAGACUAGUAAACCAGGAAGCUUGCCCCAAUUCAUCCAACAACUCCUCGAUGACAGGUACCGGAAAAGAUGUCUUGACAGUAAUAGCAUUUAAGUGCCGAAAAUCCACACAGAAGCGCCAUGAAUUAUCCUUCUUCUUGACCAAUAAUACUGAAGAAGAAAAUGGACUAGUGCUGGGUUGUAUAAUUCCUGACUGAAGCAUGACCGAAACUUGGCGCUCUAUUUCAUCUUUGAUAGCUGGUGGAUAUCGAUAUGGUCUGACAUGGACAGGAACAGCCCCUGGCACUAAUGGAAUGGUAUGAUCACACUCACGAGUUGGAGGAAGACCAUUUGGUGGUGCAAACACAGCUUUAAAUUCCUCCAACAAUGCCAUCAGCACAGGUGUUAAAUCCAAGUGUGCAAACAGAGGUGGUUCAGAUUCUAUCAUAUCUAAUUCCACUAUCGACCCAGGUGGAAAAACAGCAGACAAUCCAUGUAAUAGCACCCAGGAACGUUGAUAUGGAAUGAUCAUCCACUUUUGGGACCAAUGCACCUUCAUCGGACUAUUAGCUGCCAACCAAUCCAUACCAAUGAUCAUAUCAUAUGAAGCCAGAUCCAAAACUCUCAAGUCAGUGUCAAACACGCAGUGUUGAACGGACCAUCUAGCGCCAACUAGCUGGCAAGAACACUUCAAACGAUUGCCAUCCGCUACCUGAACCAGCACUGACUUGGCCAUAUCAGUUACACCUGAUAACCUCGAUGCCACCCGGGAUGCAAUGAAUGAAUGAGAACUACCUGAAUCGAUCAGCAUCACCACUUCAAUGCCUUGAAUCAGUCCCCGCAACUUCAGAGUAUGGUUCAACUCCAAUCCUUUAACAGCAGCAAUGGAGAUGGCCAAACAUUCAGUCUCUAUGAUCUGAUCCUCGACCACAACAUCCUCAGGAAUGGUGUCUUCAUCCCCUUCAUAUAAUUCCCAGAGUUCCUGUAGAGCAUGUAACUGGACUGUGGGAGGACACUUAUGAUCACGCGACCACUUCUCC
rnacentral:lncRNA from 1 species